GCUCCCGGAUGCGGAGGCGGCGAGGUGGGACGAGGAGGAGGUGACACCGGCGGAGGCGCGGCGGCUGAUGCGGCUAGCCAACAUCGACGCGCUCAAGCGGCAGCUCGGGGACGGGGAGUGAUCCCGUACGCGGACCUGCUGCGCGUGUGCCAGGAGACCGACGCGGCCAGGACGCGCGCCGAGGCCGCCGCGCUCGCGGGCGCACUCGAUGAGGCCGGUGUCGUGCUGCUCUUCUGCGACAGGGUCUACCUCCAGCCCGAUAAGGUCAGCUCGCAUCGCAUUGCCGCCCUAUCCUACCCCUCCCCUCCCUCCUCGCCGCCUCGGUUCGCUGGAUCCCCUCCUUCGCGGCUCAGCUUACCUGUGCUCCUCGCCGCCGGUUAUCCUUGUUUGUUUGUUUGCUGUUUGAAUAGUCGUAUGACCCACCAGCCAAUCCCAUGUGGCGGCGGCCUCCCAGUCAGGUCGGGGGAGUCGACGGGCCGAGACGUUGCGGGUCUUCGCUCACGAAUCUCCGAGCUCUCUCUGCCCCCGCUGGCCACUCGCGGAACCGUCGCCCUCCAAUCACGCAGAGCCGACGGCGGCAGGAAAAAACUGCACCAUGCCCGGGAAGGAUCGUGAUUUACCCAAGAUAUUUUGGAGGGCAAUUACUGUGUCCUGGGUAGCAACCAUUUUGUUUAAACAUUGGUCUGGGUUCAAUGCUAAAAGGUAAUCGUGCUACGGAGCUAUUCAGUUCAAAUUGAAGGGACCAUGCAGACUGCAGUGGGUGUUUUUGGUGGUAAAAAUUAUACUAAUGGAACAUUUCAUUACGUGCACCUUCACUAACUAUGGGCUCAGGGUGUACAAUCUGAACCAUCAAUUUGCUAUUUUUCCUCCAGAAACUGAAUUUCAAAAUAUUUUAUUAUGGAUAUAUUUAAUUGGGAUAAUACAAGCAUGUCUGAAAUCUGAGCAACUGAAUCUCUAGCUCUUCUGAAAAGCUGCUGCUAUUCAUGUAUGGCAUUUGCAGCUCUUUGGGAUGGUUUGACAAGGCACAUCACAAGCAAAUAUUGGAGGAGCUACUACUAAAAUUUUGAAGUCAGAUUCGUAGUGCAGAAUUUUGGAAAUCAGAACAACUAAACUACCUAAGGGUAAGGAUGUUUGGCUCAUGCGUUGGAGAUCGGGUCCAGAUGGAAGUAGGCAGGGAGCGCUGCCCGUGGGGGUAGGGAAAGGCAUGGCUCAUGCGUGGAUGGAAGGAGGCAGGGAGCGCCCGGCCACCAUUGCCGGUGAGCCAUCGUAUGGCUACUUUCGCGCCGUGCCGACCCCUUCGAGAAGAUCGACAAGGAUGUUGCCAACUGCAUCCGCCCUCUCCGGUUCCACCACAAGUGUGUAUCUAUAGCAACAUGCUGUUCUAUUUAAUUCUUUGGCACUGAUCAUCUUGGUGUUAAACUGGUAAUUCAGGAUCUCUACCUGAAUUCUGGGGCAUGAGAUGCGGAACACAGGCAGAUCGAGGAAGCUUUUGAAUUGCAUGCUCCUGAAUAGGCCAAUAAUUAUUUGGCUUUGUUGUAGGACAAGUGCAUGAUUGUCCUGCUGUACAGGCAUACAGCUUGAUGAGAAUGCUGGAGAUAGGCAAAGCUCUGCAAUCUUAUCCCUAUUACUUUGGGUUUCAGAUCAGAAAUGAGGGAUGCAUGUUUCUCUACACAACUCAUUGACGGUGAUGGGGUUUUCAAUGUCUCCGAAUUGGAGAACUUCAUGAAGGAAGCUAGAUUGGGUGAAUGCAGGCUCUCGUAUGCUGUUGUAUCAAUAAUGGGCCCGCAAAGGAAAAGUACACUUCUGAAUCAUCUUUUUGGCACCAAUUUUAGAAAGACGGAUGCUUUCAAAGGAAGGUGUGCUACUAUUUCUUUAUAUUUGUCACUAAACUUAUGCGGGGCCCGAUAUGGGGGCCGAUGGCCGGCCUCGCCACCGUCGACGCGCGGCCCCACGGAGGCUCCCCUCACACUCCUUACGCAGUCAUGGGAAUUGCCAUUGGAGUCUUGCCUCUGGGAGUGGGGCUCCUGUUCUAGGUGCACAGCAGGUGUAUGAGUAAGCCUCGAGGAUUCAGGAGACACGGUUAUCACUUUAAUAGAACCUGAAAAAGAGUUCAGGGAAGGAUGGAGGUGUGACAGUUCCAGAGAGAGAGUCUACUUUGGAGGAGGCUGGUGUAAUGGAUGCGGUCUUGGUGAAUACACACCAGUUCUACAGGUGGUUUGCAAAACUGGAGUCAGCUGUGAAAUCUGAGUUUUGUUUAAUGUCACUAUUUCUCUUGGCGACAGAAAGAUUAUGAUAACAUUGUUUGCUCACUCUGGAGACAUUGUUUAUUGACAGACAGAGGAGAAGUAUCGCCUCUAUGAGAAUACAUUAAAGGAGCGUGUCAACACAUGUGACAGCAUCCUGAAGCAAUUAAGGCUGCAAUUUUUUUUUGUUUCUUUAUGUUGAAAAAAAUCUGUACAGACGUAUACACCUUUGCCCUUUCAGUUUUAACCUUUUAAAGUGCAUCUCUACAGGUUGAUGAUACAUUGAACUUGUUUGAAGAACUACAGACCUUGCACUCGAGUGUUGCCACGAAGAUUAAAACAUUGCAUGAUGCUUGCGGCCAACUGGGAGCAUGUUUAUGUAGCCAUUCUGAUCAUUUCAUUAUGUUUGUGGAGAAAUAAGGGGGCUACUUUUGUGCAAAGCUGAGCAAAUUCGUAGGAGAAUCUGAUGGAGCUGAUGAUCUUGGUCCCGCUGCAAAUAUUAUGGGAUCCUCAAUGAAGCGAACUAAUAUCAAAAUUUAAUUUGGAGGCAUUUAUGGAAUCAGAGUUUUAGUUUGGUAUUAUCUGAUUUAAUCUCGGUGCAUUCGAUGAUGCUACCAAUAUUGUUUGCAAAUCACUAUGACAGUAUCGGGUUUGCACCAUAUCCUGAUUUGGCAUCAUAAGGAUGCUGUUAGAAGUGAGGUAUAUGUUAAUAUUUUCUGGAUGUGCCACAUUAUUAGCAAUGGUCUGCAAGUUAAUCAUGUGUGAGUUUAAACAUCCGCUCUGAAGGAAUCUUUUUUUUUCUUCGAAAAA